ensembl:lncRNA
GGGAUUACAGCUUUUCUUGCUGUUGUUUCCUGGAGAAGAAAAAAGAGGCAGGAUGGAAACACAGACGAAGAUCUCUAUGUGAAUCUGGACCCUCGUUCCCAUCCCCCCGAUGACGAUGCAUCCAGUGAUCAUGACUACGAGAAUACUGCAGUGAGUUCCAGAUUUUAAAGUCUCCAUACACUUUUACAGUCUAUACGUCUAGGGCAUGGAAAAAAUUUGAAAGCCACAAACAAAAAAAAUCAAAAAUUUUUAAAUGAAC